rnacentral:rRNA from 1 species
CAAUACGGCAGCGGCAGACGGGAUAGUAACACGUGGGGACGCGCCCUUCGGUUCGGAAUAACUCAGGGAAACUUGAGCUAAUACCGGAUACGCCCUAACGGGGAAAGAUUUAUUGCCGAAGGAACGGCCCGCGUCCGAUUAGCUAGUUGGUGAGGUAAUGGCUCACCAAGGCGACGAUCGGUAGCUGGUCUGAGAGGAUGACCAGCAUCACUGGGACUGAGACACGGCCCAG